CAUUGUGUGGGCGUGGCAGUGGGCCGAUUUUGCCCAUCUUCGAACUUAACCUUCUUAUAGAGCCAAGAAAUGCGUGUACCUAGUUUCAUCAUGAUAUCUCAAUUUAUACUCAAGUUACAGCUUGCACGGACGGACGGACGAACACUAGAGGACCCGCCUAUGUUUUACUGUGGCUGAUACAUAGGUAGUACUACUAAUACCAUCUAUAUGAUUUCUAUUAGUUAGAUUAUACAUAUGUAUUAGUUAAGGAAUAAUCGCAUUUUUGGUAAAGCAACAAAAAUUAAUCAAAAAGCAUUUCGUGCGUUAAGAAAGAAUUGGUUUUUGGGGGAAAAUACUAUUGAAUUUGGGCUGUGCAUCAGUGAAAUCAAUCGAGUCCAAUCGAUUGUCAGCCUGGUGGACUGCAUAUUAAGAAACGGUUCUCAAGCGUGGAAAGACAAAAAAAUCGCCUGGCAAGGUUAUGGCAUCAAUCUUGCAAUGCCUCGAAAAAAUUUCUGUAUAUCUCAAAUUUUAAUAGACCUUUUUAUCAACACUUCAGUUAAGCCGCUAUUUUUUUAUGCCAGAUCUUUUGCAAUUUUAAAUUGCCUGUCAAGAUACCCCCUCCAAUAGUUAGCAGGUAUGAAAAAAAUUGUAUAGCUACCCAUAGAUGUAUUGAAUCACCCAAUUUAUUACUUAAGAACGAACAACUCUGUCCACGUUAUGAAAACUUGUCUACUGAUGUCGCCUUUUACUUUGGCAUCGUUUUGUUUAUUGCACGUUUACGCCAAUUUAAGGUUUGAAUAUUGGAUACUGCGAUGGUAGCGCAAUCUAUCGGUCAAACAUUCCAAAAUUAGCAAUUGAUUACAAAUGAAAAAUUAAUUUAAUAAAACAUUUUCCAGUGGACCAAAUUGUGAAUCUAAACCAUUCACGAAUCUCCUUGAACACACACAAAAAAUUUCAUCAAAAUCGGUCCAGCCGUUUAGGAGCAGUUCAAUUAGAAACACACGGUCAGAAGAUUUAUAUAUAUAAAGAUAUACGAAGACUAAUGACCGACAUAAAAUAUUUAAACCCUUGUUACCUUAUUUAUCACAUCUUAAAUUAUGUUGCAGUUACUACGGUUACAGUCAGCAAGAAAUCGACAACACUGCCUUUCGCGACCAAACUUUCUCAUUGCAUUUUUAACUCUACAUUAUAUGUAUGUGUAUGAAUGUCAACGAAAUUACCUGUGUAAUUGCAUAAUUUUAUGUGGUUGCAAUUUCAGCAUCAAAUGCGUAGAUUAGAAGAUUCCUCUGUCGUGCGGAGACAGCAAGAACUAUAGCUUGUACAACUGUUCUUAGAACAUUUUGAAAUCACUGCUUGCGUUGGAAUACGUAUGAAAUGCAUGUAAUGGUACCCUGAUGCGAUAAGAGUUUUCCCGUGAGUGGCAAUGUUUGAAAAUACAAAAGAGUGACUUGGUUGCUGGCAGCAAUUCUUCACUUUUUCACUUUAUAUUAGUGAAUAUCUAAAAUACCAUUUAUUUGCCACCACUAUGCAUUGUAAUAGUUAUUGAUGAAGAAAAAUGGUGCAUUUUAGCAUUUAACUUUUAUAUUUUGUUUUGCGAACUGCUUUGUGGGGAUUGAAAUGAAGGUGGAAAGGGCUUUUGACCAUAAGUGAAUGUAUUUAAUUCAGCAACAAAUUAACUACUUUGCUCAGUGAGUGUCGUAAAAGUUUAAUUUAUUAAUUCACUGAAUUAGAAACAAAGUAACAAUUUCACUUCGAUCCUAACACAACUCAGUAGCUGCCAUUAUUAUUAAAUUUUUUAAGUAAAUUUGAUGAUGACGAGCUGAACUUGAACCUGUGAAGGGAAUUAUAGUUUCUGUGUAGCCGAAUUUAACGUUUUUUUAGCUAUUAAAUAAAAUUUACAUAAUUAAAGAAAAAAUUAAUACUUUAGAACAUUACCAUACGUACUCAAAGAAACAUGUAAAUAAUUAUGAUGUACGAACUUGCCAAGCAACUAAGAAGUAGCCGAUUUCGAUUUCACUACUUGUAGAGGCGCGAAGUUCCAAUGCGUAUCACUGUACAUUUUAUGCUUUGAUCGCAAGGUUACGAAUUUUUCAAAUCAAACAUUUUGUAUUAAAAAUUUAAUUUGUAAUAAAUUGAAACAGAUGACUCUGUGCGCGCUUUGGCUGAAAAUGGUAAAACACUAAGUUCGCAAAUACAAAAACUAUUAAUUCUAAUUUUUAUUUAUAAAUAUUAAUUUUAUGCUUGGGAUUAAAAUUUUUAAUUCAUAUUUAGGGAAUAAAUUAAUAUUUUUCAAUCCGGAGUUAGAGAUUCGAGUUAAUUUUCUUAAAUUUUAGUUUGUGAAUUAACUCUUUGUAUGCUUACUAAGAUUACCCCUUUCUCCACAACAAAUCAGGGUAUAGCUCUCCCCUGUGCUAAUUAAAUAUUUACUAAGUUUCAAGCAAAACUUAAUUCUAAAUUUUAAAGACUUUACAUACUGCCGCAAGAGUAUAAAAUAACAUCGAAAGAAAAUCUCAAUGUCAGGCUGUUACAGCAACGAGAGGGUAUCAAAACUACAAGCCAACGAUUGGUAAUGUUAAGCUGAACGAAUGCUGGCAGCAUGUAGUCCAUAUACUAUCUUUACAGUUACCCGCCGGGUGUCUACUGAUAUUUGUGGUAUCUUCGGGAGCUACCACUAUUGGCAGUUGUUGGCCUGGCGGUUGUUGACUCUCGAUAGUCGACUUCGGGAUGCUUGUUGUUUAGAUUGAUUUUGUCGCGUUAACUAGUAGUUACGGUUGUUUUUGGUUUUGUUGUUAUCACUUAUAGUAUACUGAUUGCCGAACCAGAAAGCAAAGUACCAAAUGCGUACCUGCGAUAUCAUGUUCAUAUACAAGCCUACGCACCGAUAACCAAAUAUACAGAUAUACUUAUAAGAAAUAUAUAGUUUUUCAUUGAUUUUCUAGUAUAUGCCUGCCCAUAACUAGGUGCGUUUAUGCAUUUAUUAAUUUAACUGCCUUCUAAUAUGUUGCAAAGAGAAUGUGCGAGUGCGGACUUAACAAAGCACGUAAUUGUGUGUACUCUUGUUAUCCUAAAUAUUUACCAUCAAAAUCAUUGUUGCAGCCAAGUAAUGUAGAAAGAAUGGAAAACUGUAAUUUAUUUGAGGGAAAAACUACAAUAUCUUCUUAAAGAACUGAAUUCACUAAUACUGUUAAUAAAAUAUACAAUCCCACUAUUAAGAAGAAAUCUUUCCGUAAACUCCUUAAGCAAAUACAUUUAAAAGGUUAUUCUUAAUAUCUAGUAAAUUAGUGACAGUACGUCUCAAGUCCGAAACGUGUUUUUGAGCCUAUCUACUGUUGAAUAUCUAUGGAAUUCUUAUGGUAAAGGAUACAACUCGACAAAGACCAAACAAUGGGAAAGCCUAUGUAUAUGUGCAUUAAAAUAUACAUAAGAAGAAUUCUUGAUAUACCCAGCAUAUCUCAUUUUAUAACAGUUUCCAUGCCAACACCUAAAAAUUAAAAAUUAUGGUCACCAUUAAUUAAAGGACAUGGAACAUUUUGAUAAAUCUCUGCUUGUCUUAUGACAUCAUUCAUCACAAGGGUGGCUUUGUCGCCUUGAACUGUGAAAGAAACAGGAAUAUACAAGUGUGAUCAGCCACCUCCAAAACUAAAUAUUCAAUAGCAAUUCCUUCUUAAAUCUCCAAAACUGACACACUCAUUUUUACUAUUAUGAACAGCUUCAAGGUUUCGAGAUUAAUUCAAUUCGCAAAUCUGAAACGACAAUAAACGUUUCAAUAUUAACUGCGUCUUUUGUAUUUAACACUUUAUAAUUCAAUAUCGUAGUGCAUCUGGAAAAAUUAUCUAAUGAUUUUUACUCAAAAUUGUUAAGUUUCCCACUUCGUGAGCCUUCAGUGUACUGACUUUUAUGUUGAAAAAACGAAUACGAGUUUUAUUUAAUAUUUUUAGGUCGAAAGCGCAAAAUAGGUUUAUCAGAUGUUUUGUUAAAAUGAAUAGGAAAGAAUAUGAUCAAUUGUAUGGAACCGCAAACUAUGUGAUUCCUGAAAUGCACACACCACGAAAUACUGAACUUUUGAAAACAAGUGGCUAUUUUUGAUAGAGCAGGCGAAAGUCGUGUCCAGCUGUCAUGUUAUAUUCAUUCAGUAUUGUUUGGCAUUUCAUUACGGAAAUACUUACGUCAGAACAACGUUUACAAAUCCUCCAAUCUUAUUUCGAACAUUCCUGUUUUGUAAAGAAUGUGCUUCGCGCACUUCGCUCAACUUAUGGUCAUGUUAUAUCACACCGUUAGACUUUUAGAGACUUCUCGCUUCGAUUCAGGCCUUGGAGUAAAACAUCACUUGUGUAAUCAACAUUUUGACUUAACGGAUGGACCAUCUUAGACGUAGCCGUGGCCAAUAUUUGAAAAAGAUAAUCUAAAAAUAAAUGAGAAAGUAAUAAAAAUCCCUCAUUAAAUUUGAACUUUCUGUAUUUUUUCCUCGAAAGGAAUGACCUUUUAUAUUUUCGGUAUAUUUUUGCAUGUUUCGACUUACUUCUAGGUACAUGCAUCAUCAAGUUACUUGCAUUUUAUUUCGGUGGUUGUUUUAUUUUCAUUUCGAUUUCUCAAAGUGAUUAUCGCUUUUUUAUAACGAAUUUCAACCAUCAUAUAUGUCUACAUAGUGAUGAAUUACUACAUUCGGAAACGUGCAACGAAUUUAGGUCAUGCGAUUCUCUUUUUGUUCGCUCGCACCGAACCUUAAAUGGGAAAUUGAUGGAUCAACAACAAGCUCAAGCUUCUGUCAGCUAAUGGUCGGUAGUUGUAUGCCCAUUUCACACACAUAUGCAACCUUUAAGUCAACAAAUAAUGCGAAAAUGGAAAAAUUGGACAACAGCCCCAGGUGACUUUAUUGCGCAUAUAUCAGCCAAUAUGUGGGCUAUCUUUUUAAAAUUUAGAGAGAUUAAAAUGAGGGGAAAUCUGAUUCUAGAUCACAUAUAACUAAGAAGGCUAGAAGAUAUUUCCCUAUAUUAGAUCCUGACGAGUUGUAAAAGUAUGAAAUGUUCGGCUAUACCUGAACUUAGCUCUUCCGUACUUGUUUUUGAUUAUUUGUUGACUCAAAGUGUUUGUACUUGCAAGUGUGUGCAUUCAAAUCUACCAUAAGCCAUCGAAAAUUAGCUUACAGAUGCUAGAGCCGGUAGUCCAUCCAUCAACUUGACAUUUUACAGAUUAGGGCGAGUGACAAAACUGGACUCGGCUCUACGCAACAAAUAAAGCAGAAACAAAUAAAAUUUAAAAGAGUGGACAAACUAAUGCAAUAGCCCAUAUUAAACAUACCACUUCUCCGCCUGAAAGCAACUAUUUAUAUAAAUAAGGUGGUGGAACUCGAUUGGCGAACUUUCGAAUAUCAUGAUUUAUCUUCAAGUGGAGACAUAUGAUGGCCGCAAGAUGUGGAGAAGGGGCAUAUGCGCUGAUGUUAGCUUUGAGACAGCGCAAUAGAAGCGAAAAGGCGGAAUAUAGUACAGUUGCAACUUCGAUCGCUUUAUGCCAUAUCGUUCGACUUCUCGCUACAACGUGUUACUAAUGCACUUAUCAACGAGCUCAACUUUACGGCCCGGUGCCCAAUUAGUACAGCUCUACAACAACAACACCAUAUUAUGAAUCACACUGCUCUUGCAGCAACAUGACCACUGCCAGCAUCUUGCCAACCACCGGGACAGCGCCCGUUUCACAUUUCAAUAACGCUGAAAUGCAGAGUGACAAGCAGAUGUCACAGUACCAUCAUCACUUCCGCUGUUCUAAAUAGAGCACAUAGAGCUUUCUUAUUCGAACUGGUACUCGUUUUGGAUCUCAAGGGCUCUUGCGAUCAAUUCGAAGUUCUGUUAUUGGCAUAAAUCAAACCUAAUGAAAGGUGCAUCAGAAGAACGACGAGGAGUUCACGGCAAUGUACACCCGAAAUUUACUAAAACUGGGUGCUGACGAGCAUGCGGCCGUUGUGGAAAAGCUCAUCAGAGAAAGUAUUAGACUAACGUAUUUACUUCACUAUAAAUUAAUUAUUUUUUAUUUUAAUAAAAAAUAUGUAAAUAAAACUUUGUGCUAAAUUAGGUUUUAAACAAAUUGAUCUGUCGAAAGAAACAUGUAAGUUAAAGCAUUUAUUUUUAGGAACCGCUACCGCUUUCCGUUCUAAUCUACUUAAAUAAAAAUAAUCAAAAAAAUGGAACUAUAAACAAAAAUUGGCUUGUUUUUGAAUGAAUCAAACGCUACUCGUAAGUGAGCAUAUGGUUUAAGUGGAGUACGUUUCGCAGAAACGCAGUACUUCGAAAUACUUUAAGGUAUCUCUAGAUAUUUGCUAAAUCGAAUUUGUUUGGUUUUGGCCAAUAUUUAGUCAUAAGGUGGCAAACUUUAAACAAACUAUUAGUGCAAAAUUAUAUUCCGUUACAUCAAUUGCUCGCUGGUUUAUAUACUGGAAAGUGAAAGAAUUAACAGGAAUUUAAUUUUGUGUUAUAAAGGAAGUAGACGUGAGUUUGCUCCUAUUUCGCACAUUUUCACACUGUAAGUAGAGAAUAUGAGAAGAGCACUACUUAACUUAGUAGGUAAAAUUGGCAAAAAUCAUUGUCCAAUUUUCAUUCUAGCUCCCAUAAAGCAUUUUCAUACCAUUUUGGAGGUAAAAUUUAACGUCUCUGGCGUAAUUACUUAUUAAUUUAAUGCGCUUUAGUAGUUUUGAACAGUACCGGAAGUGAGCGGGUUUUUUUUCCCAAAUUCAGCCAUUUUCGCACUGUUCAAAAUUGAACAUAUUCGUUGCUACCAAAGGACGGACGGACGGACAACAUUAUAUUUAAACCUUUUAUAUAUUUCACAAAUAUUAAAUAAGAUAAGAAAAAUUUUACUAUUGUAAUAAAUUAUACAGUCCACAUAUAUUAUAUAAGGCAGAGGCAGUACAAAACGUACAUAAAUAAACACAUAAAUAUACAAGCAUUUAUUUGCAACACACAUACUUAUAUAUAUGAGGCACGUGAGUUUUAAGUGUUCGAGAGGAGGAAUAAAAAUGCCGACGAUGUUACUUCUGUGACAUUAUACUUUAUUCUCUUCUUUUUUCAAAUUGUGUUCUGCUUAUAUAACUACUAAAGUGAUUACAAUUUUCUUAACCUAUUUCUUUGUGAAAUACAAUAUUUGUUAAAUGUAAUCUUAUUUUCUAUUGAAUGCAAACAAACAUGAUUGUGUGGUUUACCCGAUAAUGUCUGGGUUAUCAUUACAGUCAAACAUAAGGACCAAAACAUGUUUGUAUGCAUUUGCAUUAUGUUCUUUAUCUCUACUUGUUAUCUUAGUUUUUUGUAAUGUUUACUUUUUUUUCUUUCAUCUUUUAUUUUGUCCAAUUUAAAAUAU